rnacentral:rRNA from 1 species
UGGGGAAUUUUGGACAAUGGGCGAAAGCCUGAUCCAGCAAUGCCGCGUGUGUGAAGAAGGCCUUCGGGUUGUAAAGCACUUUUGUCCGGAAAGAAAUGGCUCUGGUUAAUACCUGGGGUCGAUGACGGUACCGGAAGAAUAAGGACCGGCUAACUACGUGCCAGCAGCCGCGGUAAUACGUAGGGUCCAAGCGUUAAUCGGAAUUACUGGGCGUAAAGCGUGCGCAGGCGGUUGUGCAAGACCGAUGUGAAAUCCCCGAGCUUAACUUGGGAAUUGCAUUGGGGACUGCACGGCUAGAGUGUGUCAGAGGGGGGUAGAAGUCCACGUGUAGCAGUGAAAUGCGUAGAGAUGUGGAGGAAUACCGAUGGCGAAGGCAGCCCCCUGGGAUAACACUGACGCUAAUGCACGAAAGCGUGGGGAGCAAACAGG